AAACUUGUCUCGAGUAAUAAUAAGUAAAAUAAAAUAUACAUGCACUUAAUAACUAUAUAACUCACUCGAAGUUGAAGGGGAAGAGUAUUUUUUCUUUUUCUUUUUGUUCACAAAGAACCUCAUAAGAUUGGUGCAGACUUCUGUCUCAUGAGCUGCUGUCCACACUGCCUGCAGAGCCUUGAAACAAUAUAAGGGUCAACGAACUCAAUACUAUUGUCAUUUCUCAUUAUGAGCUCUGUCAUUUGGUGCCUGCAUAUAUACAUACAAAUCCUAAGUGUGUAAGGAUUAUAUACAUGUAAUUAAAGAAGUUAGAAGUAUAAUAAAAAAAAACUUACAGACAAAAGCAGCUG
rnacentral:lncRNA from 1 species